AGCGAACGCUGGCGGCAGGCUUAACACAUGCAAGUCGAGCGGGCACUUCGGUGUCAGCGGCAGACGGGUGAGUAACACGUGGGAACGUACCCUUCGGUUCGGAAUAACGCUGGGAAACUAGCGCUAAUACCGGAUACGCCCUUUUGGGGAAAGGUUUACUGCCGAAGGAUCGGCCCGCGUCUGAUUAGCUAGUUGGUGGGGUAAUGGCCUACCAAGGCGACGAUCAGUAGCUGGUCUGAGAGGAUGAUCAGCCACACUGGGACUGAGACACGGCCCAGACCCCGCGGGAGGGAAGGGGGGGGGAAUGUAGGACAGGGGGCGCGAGCCGGACCCACCAGUGCGGGGGGAGUAAGGAGGCCCUUAGGGUUGAAAAGCUCUUUUGUCGGGAAGAAUAAGGGCGGGACGGGAAAAAAAAGCCCCGACUAACUUGGUC
rnacentral:rRNA from 1 species